CCAAACUGUUGCCUCGGCGGGAUCUCUGCCCCGGGUGCGUCGCAGCCCCGGACCAAGGCGCCCGCCGGAGGACCAACCAAAACUCUUUUUGUAUACCCCCUCGCGGGUUUUUUAUAAUCUGAGCCUUCUCGGCGCCUCUCGUAGGCGUUUCGAAAAUGAAUCAAAACUUUCAACAACGGAUCUCUUGGUUCUGGCAUCGAUGAAGAACGCAGCGAAAUGCGAUAAGUAAUGUGAAUUGCAGAAUUCAGUGAAUCAUCGAAUCUUUGAACGCACAUUGCGCCCGCCAGUAUUCUGGCGGGCAUGCCUGUCCGAGCGUCAUUUCAACCCUCGAACCCCUCCGGGGGGUCGGCGUUGGGGAUCGGCCCUGCCUCUUGGCGGUGGCCGUCUCCGAAAUACAGUGGCGGUCUCGCCGCAGCCUCUCCUGCGCAGUAGUUUGCACACUCGCAUCGGGAGCGCGGCGCGUCCACAGCCGUUAAACACCCAACUUCUGAAAUGUUGACCUCGGAUCAGGUAGGAAUACCCGCUGAACUUAAGCAUAUCAAAAGCCGGAGGAA
rnacentral:rRNA from 1 species